UAAGGGGGGUAUCUCAAUUCACAAUUCAGAUCGAGCCCUCUCUCAGUCUCUCUCAGACUCGAACCCUCUCCAGUCUCCGCCUCUCGACCUCUCCUUCAGCCUUUGAAGUUUGAACUUCGAACUAUCCAAGAAUCGAACCCAGAGAUGCGCCGGUGAAGUUCGAACCUAGCGUCCUACGGCCGGAACAGGAGGAUCGAGGACUGAGUUUGAGUGUUUGACUGUUUGAGACUUUGAGGGAGACGAAGAAGAAGAGGGAGAGCUGGGUCUGGUCUUAAUCUUAAGGCCGUGUUUGGAUCGCGGCUUUUCUACUCUGGUAGUCUCAAGUUUUGUGAAGUUCUGGGCUUUUUUGGGGAUUGGCUUAUCUGAUUGGAUUUUCAUCAGAAAGGCUGUCCAUCCAUGCUAUUGGUCAUUGCACAGUUGAUGUAUUGCUUUAUUUGCUCAUGGUUGAACUGAAGUGAUGAUGAGAUGAAGAUGAACUGAAGUUGAUGUAUUGCUUUAAAAGUUCUCUUGUUUAUUUGCUUAUGCUUGAACUGAAGUGA